rnacentral:rRNA from 1 species
CAAAAACAUCGCCUCUUGAUUUAAUAUAAGAGGUCUAGCCUGCCCAAUGACAAAUAAGUUAAAUGGCCACGGUAUACUAACCGUGCAAAGGUAGCAUAAUCACUUGUUCUUUAAAUGGGGACUUGUAUCAACGGCAUCACGAGGGUUGUACUGUCUCCUUUUUCCAAUCAGUAAAACUAAUCUCCCCGUGAAGAAGCGGAGAUACUAAUAUAAGACGAGAAGACCCCAUGGAGCUUAAAACCCAACUACACCUUUAAUUUUCAUGACCUUAUAACCUAUGAAGCCCUGUAUAGUUGGUUUUAGGUUGGGGCGACCACGGAGUACAACAAAACCUCCACAAUGAACGAGACCAACCUCUUAUCUAAGAGUUACCCCUCUAAGAAUUAAAACAUUAACAUAAAGUGAUCCAUUUUUUGAUCAAUGAACCAAGUUACCCUGGGGAUAACAGCGCAAUCCAUUUCAAGAGCCCUUAUCGACAAAUGGGUUUACGACCUCGAUGUUGGAUCAGGGUAUCCUAGUGGUGCAGCAGCUACUAAUGGUUCGUUUGUUCAACGAUUAAAACCCUACGUGAUCUGA